rnacentral:rRNA from 1 species
GCGAUCGGUGGAUGCCUUGGCACCAAGAGCCGAUGAAGGACGUUGUGACCUGCGAUAAGCCCUGGGGAGUUGGUGAGCGAGCUGUGAUCCGGGGGUGUCCGAAUGGGGAAACCUGGAAUGUCCGGAGUAGUGUCCGGUGGCCCUGCCCUGAAUGUAUAGGGGUGUGGGUGGUAACGCGGGGAAGUGAAACAUCUUAGUACCCGUAGGAAGAGAAAACAAGUGUGAUUCCGUGAGUAGUGGCGAGCGAAAGCGGAGGAGGCUAAACCGUGUGUGUGUUCAAGCCGGCAGGUGUUGCAUGUGCGGGGUUGUGGGGGCCUUGUGGUUCUGCUGCCGCAGGAUUGGCCAGUGAGAAAUGUUGCGUGAAGGUGAAGCGUCUGGGAAGGCGUACCGGAGUGGGUGAGAGUCCUGUAACUGUAAGCGUGGCACUGGUGUGGGGUUGCCCCGAGUAGCGUGGAACUCGUGGAAUUUCGCGUGAAUCUGGCGGGACCACCCGUCAAGCCUAAAUACUCCUUGGUGACCGAUAGUGGAUGAGUACCGUGAGGGAAGGGUGAAAAGUACCCCGGGAGGGGAGUGAAAGAGUUCCUGAAACCGGUCGCAUGCAAGCCGUCAGAGCCUGUGUGGUGAUGGCGUGCCUUUUGAAGAAUGAGCCUGCGAGUUAGUGAUGCGUGGCGAGGUUAACCCGUGGUGGGGGAGUCGUAGCGAAAGCGAGUCCGAUAAGGGCGUGAGUCGCGUGUUCUAGACCCGAAGCGGUGUGAUCUAUCCAUGGCCAGGAUGAAGCGUCGGUAAGACGUCGUGGAGGUCCGAACCCACUUCAGUUAAAAAUGGAGGGGAUGAGUUGUGGAUAGGGGUGAAAGGCCAAUCAAACACCGUGAUAGCUGGUUCUCCCCGAAAUGCAUUUAGGUGCAGCGUUGCGUGGUUCUUGUUGGAGGUAGAGCACUGGAUGGUCUAGGGGGCUUAUCGGCUUACCGAAAUCAGCCAAACUCCGAAUGCUGGCAAGUGUAGCGUGGCAGUGAGACGGCGGGGGAUAAGCUUCGUCGUCGAGAGGGAAACAGCCCAGAUCAUCAGCUAAGGCCCCUAAGUGGUGACUCAGUGGGAAAGGAUGUGGAGUUGCGUAGACAACCUGGA